rnacentral:rRNA from 1 species
UACGUAGGGGGCAAGCGUUGUCCGGAAUCAUUGGGCGUAAAGAGCGUGUAGGCGGCCCGGUAAGUCCGCUGUGAAAGUCCAGGGCUCAACCCUGGGAUGCCGGUGGAUACUGUCGGGCUCGAGUCCGGAAGAGGAGUGUGGAAUUCCUGGUGUAGCGGUGAAAUGCGUAGAUAUCAGGAGGAACACCGGUGGUGUAGACGGCUUUCUGGACCGUAACUGACGCUGAGACACGAAAGCGUGGGUAGCAAACAGG